GGCGCAGCUAACGCAAUAAGUAGACCGCCUGGGGAGUACGGCCGCAAGGUUAUAACUCAAAUGAAUUGACGGGGGACCGCACAAGCGGUGGAGCAUGUGGUUUAAUUUAGUCGCAACGCGAAGAACCUUACCUACUCUUGACAUCCAGAGAACUUUCCAGAGAUGGAUUGGUGCCUUCGGGAACUAUGAGACAGGUGCUGCAUGGCUGUCGUCAGCUCGUGUUGUGAAAUGUUGGGUUAAGUCCCGUAACGAGCGCAACCCUUCUCCUUACUUGCCAGCACUUUGGGUGGGAACUUUAAGGAGACUGCCGGUGACAAACCGGAGGAAGGUGGGGACGACGUCAAGUCAUCAUGGCCCUUACGAGUAGGGUUUCACACGUGCUACAAUGGCGUAUACAGAGGGCAGCGAACUUGCGAGAGUAAGCAAAUCCCAUAAAGUACGUCGUAGUCCGGAUUGGAGUCUGCAACUCGACUCCAUGAAGUCGGAAUCGCUAGUAAUCGUGAAUCAGAAUGUCACGGUGAAUACGUUCCCGGGCCUUG
rnacentral:rRNA from 1 species